rnacentral:misc_RNA from 1 species
UGUGUCGCUCCGGUCUCCAAGCUGUUGCCCAGUACGUAAUUUUACGCUAUCACUCUGAGGUCUAGCGCUUGUGGGAGUGCAGACGUGUGCACCCCGCGGGGGCAAUAAAGUGAGCCCAUUCGAAAGGCCGCUCGCAUGUGGGUCUCUGUUGCCUGCGUUUACGGUGGCCCACAUCUUUUUUUCUUCAGCGACUCGAGUGCGACUGCCGUCUUGCGCGGCAGUCGACUUGGUGGGGCGAGUAGGAAGUGACGAGUUCUUUGCCUAAGUGGGCUGCAAGCGCGCUCUGACCAUCCCUGCGCUUUCUCGUCGCCCUACCUGGUUCUCGUUCCACUCCCUCAUUUUAUUUCACCAGUACAUAUUUAUAUAUAUAUAUACAUCUGUUGAGCUUGCUUGCUUGAUUGGCACUGUUGUUGCCGACGUGGGGGAGGAGUCCCACGUGGUAAGACUCACCAAAACGAGAAGCGUACAAGCGUACAGACAUUUACACACAAAGUGGCUCUUACUCCACCCCACCGCGUGUCUUUCGUAUGAGGUGAGGCGCCUCUCUUAGAUUUUCUCCUCUUUCUUUCCUUGUUGGUUCCCGUGCAAGUGUGUGUAUGAGGGGGGGGGGGAAGGUGGCACUGAAAUUAGCAGAGAUAUAGGCACGCGCAUUCCACACUGAUUAGCAGUUGUUUAUACAUCUAUAUAUAGAUUGUCUCCUCGCAUGUGCGUGCCUGCGUUGUCUGCGUGGGAUCAAGUCACAGUUUUGGCUUUUAGUGCAGUGGCGGGGAGCGCCCUCUCCCCACCCCUAUUUCCUCUCGCCCGUCAUUUUUUUUUUCGUGUUCAGUUGUGCGUUUCUGUUCUACAGCCCACUGCGUAACUCAUCUUGUCCUCUUCCUUGCCCUUUUUUUUAUUCCGGCUUUGCAGCUUUUUGUCAUAUUCCGCUGUCCCGCUUGCUCUCUCCCGUCCCCUUCUUCCUCCUUUCCCGUCGGCCAGCAUUCCGCAAAAACGGGACCCACUGUGUGUUUGUUUCUUCGCUCCUACUGCACACUCCCCCCUCCGCUCCCUGACUCUUUCCGUUGCAGUUGCCCUCGUGACACACAGCUCCACGUAACCCACUUGAGAAGAUACACCUUUCUCUCGGUCAAACGCAUAGAAUCAGCGUGUUCUUGCUCUCUUGCUUUUCGUUGUCGGGCUCCUCUCUCUUUUCUGUGCAGCUGUAGUCUUCAUACACACACACACACACAUACAGACCCCCCUCCACCGUAGGUCCUUCAGCGCACCUCUGCGCACCAGUGAGACGAGCAGAAAUCUGCACGAACAAGAAACAAAAAUACGCCAGUCCAAAGAAAACACUUGAAGUGGUACGAGGACACAUAACGAUCAUCGAAAUCCUCGCAAGCAACGAAAACGGAAACUUGGCCGCGGCAAUGGACUCAGAUCUGAGUAAAACCUUUGGGUCCGUGCGAUCAGCGCACGCAUACGAUCAACGUGUCAGCAGCACCCGCCAGGCGUCCUCCUCCUUCGUCAACAUAAAUCAGAAGCGAUCGUGGCGCCCCACAUCGUCGCUGUUCCAACCCAUUCUGGAUUACAUGAGCUCCGCCCCAUUUGCGCUGGCGGCCGCCAAUCCGUUUCUGCGCCUAUUCGUGGAGCGCAACGCGGAGGGCGGCGGCUUUUCAAUGCGUGACUACCAGGUCACCCCGAUCCUGCUGGGGCAGAGCAGAUGCGGGUGCGACAGCGCCGGCGGGGCAGACGCGCUCACUCGAGAAGGCAUCACCCCCAUAGUGAAUGGAGGUUUGUUUGGGGGCUGUGACGCGCUGGGCGACAGUCCAGCGGCUGCAUACAGCGGUGCCUGUCUGGGCACGAGCGGCUUGGUCGUCGAGGAGGACGGCGUUAUGGAAGCCUGGUGCGGCAAGCCAUGUGAUGACGAGAAAAUCCAUGACGACGACAGUGGGCCACGAUCCGGUGCGAGCGCUAGAGUGCCGCGUGUAAUUCCACUCUACAUCAGUGGCGUCGACGCACCGCAAGGUCUGAGUCCGCUGUCGAACCACUGCUACCCGUAUGUCGGCGUGAACCGCGUUGCUCCGUCCACGACGCAGGCCGUCAGCCUCUCACUCAAGUCGAGCUCUGCCGCUGCGGCUGACAUGCGCGACCGCAUGUGCCUUUGGGAGUGUGGGCGAAGCACGGCGCUCGAGAUGUCCCUCUGCGUGUGCAUCACCUGCAAGUCUGGCGCGGCCCUUCACCUUCUGACUCUUGGCGCGUGGUGGCUUUCGCGCUACUACGGCGUCUCGCUGCGACUUCACCACGUGCACCCGGCGCAGCUGGCGGCUUUUAAAGCUGCGCAACGCGCCCUCUCUCCGAAAGAAAUCCAAUUGGAGAACUGCGUCAUCUCCGAGGACCUGCUGCAGUGUAUAUCGACGUGCUCCGACCUCUUGUCGCUUUCCAUCAUCUCCUGCUCGGCGUCGCAGCAGGUGACGCUGCGGUGCAUCGAUUCCAUUUUGCGCAAGGGAAACGAGAUGCGGCCGGUUGACUUCUCUGAUGCACACGGUACGACGUUGAACGGUUACGCGAGUGGAGGGAUGGGCAGACACGACAUGCGCCAAGGUUUCCGCAGGUCACGCAAUAAUAAUAAUGGGCUCUCGGCAAACAACGCGCCAACCGACCCCGGCCGUGAAGUGACGAACUGGUACCUCUCCGGCGUCCGUUCUCUCGGCUCGUUGAAGCAGCUGCGCUGCCUGCACAUUCUUCACACCCCGCUGCACGAGACCUUUCUGCAGGCACUCACCACGUGCUCUUCUCUCGAGUGCAUCCUACUGCAUCGCUGCCGCGGUGUCCGCUCUCUGGAACCGUUACGGCGGCUGGAGCAUCUCCAGUCGCUGAGCCUUCACGGCCUCUCCGUCACGGACACGGACCUCCUGUCGCUCACCGGCUGCACGCAGCUGCGGCAGCUCGUGCUGGACGAGUGCCGGCAGAUCACGGACCUCAGCUUCCUCGCAAACCUUCGCGGCACGCUGGAGCGCCUGUUGAUGCCACGGACGUUACUGUCCAACGCCAACAUGCAGCACAUCGGGCUGUGUGACAAGCUUGUCGAGCUGCACCUGCAAUCACUCCGUCAGCUCACGGACAUUGGCGUGUUGAAGGAUCUGACAGCGCUUCGCGUGCUGAACCUGAGCGACAACCUCGUAACUGACGAGGGCUGCAGUGCGCUACACUGCAUGCCAAGCCUGCAGCGGCUUAACCUGGCAUCCUGUCGCUGCAUUACGUCUCUGGCGGUGGCUUUCACUGCGUCGGGGCGCUGCAUGCAUCGCCUUUUGUCGCUCGACGUGUCACACACAAACAUCAGCGAUGCUGGUGUGCUGUGUGUGCAGGAGUGCACUGAUUUGCGAUACCUAAACCUGUGUGGCUGCAGUGAGCUGAGGCGGCUGUCUUGGCUGCAGAAAAUGAGCUCGCUGCGGUGGCUGAACCUUGGUGGAACUCGCGUCACGGACGAGGAGACGAAGCGCUACCUGCCGUGCACGCGCAACCUGCGCUUCUUAAGCCUGAGCGGCUGCUCCAGUGUGCGGUCGCUCUUCUUUGCCGUCAAGCUGCCUCAGCUGGAGUACUUGAACCUCGAGUCGACAAGUGUGGCAGACAGUGAACUCGCGUGCCUGUGCCACUGUCGCAAGUUGCGCUACCUAUCUCUGGAGUCUUGUGUCGACAUCCGCGACGUGUCGCCGCUGUGCGCACUGCCGGCGCUCUUGGAACUCAACAUUUCGCUGACGGCUGUAGGUGCCUCGACUGGCGGCGCGCUGAGCACAACGUCUGGCGGCAGCGAUGGCCGGAGCACCCCGCACGGGUCGUCCACACUUAUUUCCUCGACAUCGAGCGCUGCGUCGGCAAGGUCUACCUCGCCACUGUCCUCAAUCAGCUCCGCGUCACCUGUGUCACCGAGCAUUGGCGCGAGCCGAUUCCCUGUCGUGCAGGUGCUGCACUUGAACGGAUGCAGUCGAAUGACUCGACUGGAAGAGCUGUCGAGGUGCUAUCCGCAACUGCGCGUGCUCUACGCCGAUCGCAUCUCUGUAAUGCCACCACGUGGUGUUGGUAUCGGCUUCACUGGGAUGGAUGAGCGCCGGCGUCUUGGCACGACGCCGCGGCAUCGGGGACUGCUGCAGCACACGCACAGCGUGGGCGUAAGCACUGACGAGCCAAAUAGCGAGGGUCCACCGGGUGCCAACAAGUCGGUGGCGCACAUUCAUCAAGCUCUGCAGCAGUACCUGCCGCAGCCACCGGCUGGACCGCGACCACGCACCCCGCACGCGGUAGCGUCCCGCCACCAUUCCUAUCACCGCGUGAGUUCGUGUGGAAACGAGCCACGGACAAGGAGCCGAACAGUGUCCCUGCGCUUUCCAGGUGAGGCGGCUCGCGUACUCCGGCUGGUGCUCCGACGCAGCUCUGUCACCGACGCGAUGCUGGAGCAGCUGUGUGUCACGUUUGCCUGCGUCUCCUGUCUUGACUUGACAAGGUGCACGGAGGUGCAGUGCCUCUCAGGCUUGGAGAACCUUUAUGCGCUCAGGGAGUUGACGCUGACACAGUCCUCCGUCGACAACGAUGGCGUGCGUGUCGUUAGCGCUUGCGAGACACUCGAAGUGCUGCGUCUCACCGAGUGUCGCGGUGUUUCGGACGUAAAUAGUCUCGGCGGCCUGCGCAAGUUGCGCGUGUUGUGUGUAGCGCGGACUCAGGUGACCAACCAAGGGCUGGAAGGCAUUGGACAGUGCCUCGCGCUGCAGUACCUAAAUUGUGCAGAGUGCCGCUAUUUGUCUGAUGUCAACGCGCUCAGCUCUCUGAAGCACCUGAUCGAGCUGCAUCUCGAGCGCACCGACGUCGUUGACGCUGGAAUUUGUGGAGUGAUGCGAUGCUCGGCGCUGCAGCGAGUCUACUUCACGCGGUGCCAGCGGCUCACCACAAUGGGCGAUGUUCGAACGCUUUGGCCACAGCUGGAGGUCCUUGACGUCUACGGCACAUCGAUCCCGACGCGUGUAGCUGGUCAAGGGCAGCAGUUUGCCUGCGCUGUCAUUUAGCGCAGACUGGAAGCGGCACUGUUUGCUGUUUCGCUAUCAUCAUUUUCUUCGCUCUCCGUAUGUGCAAAUGUGUGAAAGUGUAGUUGAGCCGGGCCGCUGACAUCUUUGUUGUCGUCGUCCAAGGGAGGGGGGCCGCCCUCCCUUUUCUUCCCACACUUUUCGCGGCCACGUUCCGUCCCCGACGGAAGGUCUGUAUGUGUGCGUGUGCAUGUGUGUUUGUCAUCGUUCGUGUGCCAAGCAUACACUUCUGCCGUUGUCUUGCUGUACGCACUCUUUCGGGAGUGGUGCUCCAACGGCAGUCGGAGGGAGGAAACCAACAGCAUCCGAAGGAAGGAAAGAAACAGAAAGAGAGGGGGAGGGCACCGGAAAGGGCUUAGCCCUUAUGUACGUGUGUGCACGGGCCUGCAGACAGCGACCUCCAGACACGCAUUUUACCAAGUGCCGCCAUGCGGGCAUGCACGCAAUGCUUAGAAUCCCACCACAGCACUUCGGGCGUUGUAAAAGUUGAACCUACGGGCCUCUUGUGUUCAAUGGUGGCGCCGUUGAUGGCGUUCCCAACGGCAUCCGCUUUUCGAGGACCGGCUGCCGCUUGAUCCAAAUGCAAACCUGUUCCUUUCACCAUCGCCACAAACGCCUCAUCCCAUCUCUCCUUCUCCGCAACCUUCUUUGUGCCCUCCCUCUACGUCACUGCGCAUUCGCACCAUUGCCGACAUUAUCCUUCCCCUCACGUUUCACUGCCCGUGCUUCAUUACAUGGGUUGUACCUCAACGGCUGUCAUAUUGGCCCCCACCUCCACGUCCAUGACUUCCUCUACAACAACGAACCUCUUCCUCCCCCUCCCCCUCACCUCUUGAAAAAAAAAG